GAGUUUGAUCAUGGCUCAGAUUGAACGCUGGCGGUAGGCUUAACACAUGCAAGUCGUGCGAGAAAGUAUCUUCGGAUAUGAGUAGAGCGGCGGACGGGUGAGUAACGCGUAGGAAUCUACCUAGUAGAAGGGGAUAGCCCGAGGAAACUCGGAUUAAUACCGUAUACCUCCUUCGGGAGAAAGAAGGCCUCUCUUUGAAGCUUUCGCUACUAGAUGAGCCUGCGUAAGAUUAGCUUGUUGGUGAGGUAAAGGCUCACCAAGGCUACGAUCUUUAGCGGGUCUGAGAGGACGAUCCGCCACAUUGGGACUGAGACACGGCCCAGACUCCUACGGGAGGCAGCAGUGGGGAAUAUUGGACAAUGGGCGAAAGCCUGAUCCAGCCAUACCGCGUGUGUGAAGAAGGCCCUAGGGUUGUAAAGCUCUUUCGUCGGGGAAGAAAAUGACUGUACCCGAAUAAGAAGGUCCGGCUAACUUCGUGCCAGCAGCCGCGGUAAUACGAAGGGACCUAGCGUAGUUCGGAAUUACUGGGCUUAAAGAGUUCGUAGGUGGUUGAAAAAGUUGGUGGUGAAAUCCCAGAGCUUAACUCUGGAACUGCCAUCAAAACUUUUCAGCUAGAGUAUGAUAGAGGAAAGCAGAAUUUCUAGUGUAGAGGUGAAAUUCGUAGAUAUUAGAAAGAAUACCAAUUGCGAAGGCAGCUUUCUGGAUCAUUACUGACACUGAGGAACGAAAGCAUGGGUAGCGAAGAGGAUUAGAUACCCUCGUAGUCCAUGCCGUAAACGAUGUGUGUUAGACGUUGGAAAUUUAUUUUCAGUGUCGCAGGGAAACCGAUAAACACACCGCCUGGGGAGUACGACCGCAAGGUUAAAACUCAAAUGAAUUGACGGGGACCCGCACAAGUAGUGGAGCAUGUGGUUUAAUUCGAAGAUACGCGCAGAACCUUACCAACACUUGACAUGUUCGUCGCGACUCUAAGAGAUUAGAGUUUUCGGUUCGGCCGGACGAAACACAGGUGCUGCAUGGCUGUCGUCAGCUCGUGUCGUGAGAUGUUGGGUUAAGUCCCGCAACGAGCGCAACCCUCACUUUUAGUUGCCAUCAUUAAGUUGGGCGCUCUGAAAGAACUGCCAGUGAUAAGCUGGAGGAAGGUGGGGAUGACGUCAAGUCCUCAUGGCCCUUACGGGUUGGGCUACACACGUGCUACAAUGGCAAGUACAGUGGGUUAAUCCCCAAAACUUGUCUCAGUUCGGAUUGGGGUCUGCAACUCGACCCCAUGAAGUCGGAAUCGCUAGUAAUCGCGGAACAGCAUGCCGCGGUGAAUACGUUCCCGGGCCUUGUACACACCGCCCGUCACACCAUGGGAGUUGGUUCUACCCGACGGCCGUGCGCUAACCUUUCGAGGGGGCAGCGGACCACGGUAGGAUCAGCGACUGGGGUGAAGUCGUAACAAGGUAACC
rnacentral:rRNA from 1 species